rnacentral:rRNA from 1 species
AUUGAACGCUGGCGGCAGGCCUAACACAUGCAAGUCGAACGAGUGGCGGACGGGUGAGUAAUGUAUGGGAAACUGCCUGAUGGAGGGGGAUAACUACUGGAAACGGUAGCUAAUACCGCAUACCAUCGGAUGUGCCCAGAUGGGAUUAGCUAGUAGGUGGGGUAAAGGCUCACCUAGGCGACGAUCCCUAGCUGGUCCGAGAGGAUGAUCAGCAACACGGGGACGGAGAAACGGCCCAGACUCCUAGGGGAGGAAGCAGUGGGGAAUAUUGGACAAUGGGGGCAAUCCUGAUGAAGCCAUGCCGCGUGUAUGAAGAAGGCCCUAGGGUUGUAAAGUACUUUCAGUCGGGAGGCGUUACCGACAGAAGAAGCACCGGCUAACUCCGUGCCAGCCGCGGCGGUAAUUC